rnacentral:lncRNA from 1 species
AGACAUUGUAGGGUCUUUUGACAGUGUAAGGUGCCAGAAACAGUGAUUCAGGCAACGAGAGGCGAAUAUAAAAAUGCGAUUUCGUCGGCGUUAAUGGAGGUCGCCAACUGUGACUCAAACGAAUUUUUUUCUUUUCUGAUUGCUCGCAGAAACAGAACCAAAGAGAGAAGAGGAUCAGUGAUUUUCUUAAGCCUUUCCUUUCCGUCUCUGUUUGUGUUUCAGCCAAAAAAAUCGAUAAGGUCGAGAAAAGUUUAUAAAGAGAGAAGGUCACUGAUUUUCAGGUAGUUCUGCCGGAUUUCAUGGUACUUUUUGACGGGAUGGGGUUAUCUGGUUCGCCGCUUGUGAGAUAGGGUUGGGUUGCUGCCGCUGAUUGAAG